rnacentral:tRNA from 1 species
CAGAGCGUAGCUAAACUAUAGCAUUUCACUUACACCGAAAAGAUAUUCGUUAAAGCCGAAUCGCACUGA